UCUUUUUGUAGAUGGAUAACAUGGAGUGCUUUUUCAAGGAGAAAAUGGGUGUCAUUGCUGAACUUCGAAGUUCUGGAGUACCUAUGGAAUGUGCCUAGCCAUUGCAUAGCAUGGAAGUAGGUAAAAUCAUGUACCUAAGCUUCGAGUACUAGUUUACAGGGCUUGGUUGCAGAAAUAUGUGCUUUGACUACAGAAAUAGCAUGGAACCAGAGCCAGGAAGGUGCAGAAGAACAGAUGGAAAGAAAUGGUGAUUCUCUAAGGAUGUGGUGUCGGAUCAAAAGUACUGUGAGCGCCACAUGCAUAGAGGCCGUCAACGUUCAAGAAAGCCUGUGGAAGGCAAUGCCACUACCAACAACAACACCACCACCACCACGAAAUACACCAUCGAUUCCAACACCAAUCUCUCCAUUUCAAUCUUCUUUAAUUACGGAGAGAAUAUUUUGAAAUGACAGAAACUGAUGAAAUUUCCCAGUAUUUAUAGCGAAGAGUUCUACCUCGAAUUUCAGCAAGCACUUGUUAUUGGGGUUUUAUAAGUAGGGACUGCAGCAGCUGGAUCUCGUGUCACAUUUCAAUGAUCCAAACCGUUUAUAUGAUGGGCCUUAAAGCAGAUGGGGGUUAAGUAAAAUAACUCUCAGAUUUGGAUAUUUUCUUUGCUACUUCUUUUUCUGUCUUUCUCACAUCAAAUUCCAUUCUGAAUUUGUAGGCUGCUUGGAUGUCCUGCUCACAGUUGGGGCUUAUUCAACAGCUAGAGGCAUGGUGAUCUCAAGGUUGUUUAUUAGAUUCUUUUGGUUUGGACUCAGUUCAGUAUUUGUAACAUAUAUCUACAUGAAGGUUCUAGAGGAAAAGAUAACCGGAACUCAGAUUCUUUCUAUUUUUGGAUUUAUAUUCUUGUGUUGGGAGUUUAUGCUGGCAUACGCAUAUUUCUUGCUUUGCUACUUAAAUUCCCAGCUUGUCACACCUUAUCACAGACGUCUGAUCAGUGGUCAUUCUUUCAAUUUUUUAAGUGGAUUU